rnacentral:rRNA from 1 species
UACGUAGGUGGCAAGCGUUUGUCCGGAAUUAUUGGGCGUAAAGCGCGCGCAGGCGGUCCUUUAAGUCUGAUGUGAAAGCCCACGGCUCAACCGUGGAGGGUCAUUGGAAACUGGGGGACUUGAGUGCAGAAGAGGAAAGCGGAAUUCCGCGUGUAGCGGUGAAAUGCGUAGAGAUGUGGAGGAACACCAGUGGCGAAGGCGGCUUUCUGGUCUGUAACUGACGCUGAGGCGCGAAAGCGUGGGGAGCAAACAGG